AGCGAACGCUGGCGGCAGGCCUAACACAUGCAAGUCGAACGAACCCUUCGGGGUUAGUGGCGGACGGGUGAGUAACACAUGGGAACGUGCCUUUAGGUUCGGAAUAACUCAGGGAAACUUGUGCUAAUACCGAAUGUGCCCUUCGGGGGAAAGAUUUAUCGCCUUUAGAGCGGCCCGCGUCUGAUUAGCUAGUUGGUGAGGUAAUGGCUCAUCAAGGCUACGAUCAGUAGCUGGUCUGAGAGGAUGACCAGCCACAUUGGGACUGAGACACGGCCCAAACUCCUACGGGAGGCAGCAGUGGGGAAUCUUGCGCAAUGGGCGAAAGCCUGACGCAGCCAUGCCGCGUGGAUGAUGAAGGUCUUAGGAUUGUAAAAUCCUUUCACCGGUGAAGAUAAUGACUGUAGCCGGAGAAGAAGCCCCGGCUAACUUCGUGCCAGCCGCCGCGGUAACAC
rnacentral:rRNA from 1 species